rnacentral:rRNA from 1 species
GAUGAACGCUGGCGGCGUGCCUAAUACAUGCAAGUCGAGCGAACAGACGAGGAGCUUGCUCCUCUGACGUUAGCGGCGGACGGGUGAGUAACACGUGGAUAACCUACCUAUAAGACUGGGAUAACUUCGGGAAACCGGAGCUAAUACCGGAUAAUAUAUUGAACCGCAUGGUUCAAUAGUGAAAGACGGUUUUGCUGUCACUUAUAGAUGGAUCCGCGCCGCAUUAGCUAGUUGGUAAGGUAACGGCUUACCAAGGCAACGAUGCGUAGCCGACCUGAGAGGGUGAUCGGCCACACUGGAACUGAGACACGGUCCAGACUCCUACGGGAGGCAGCAGUAGGGAAUCUUCCGCAAUGGGCGAAGGCCUGACGGAGCAACGCCGCGUGAGUGAUGAAGGUCUUCGGAUCGUAAAACUCUGUUAUUAGGGAAGAACAAAUGUGUAAGUAACCAUGCACGUCUUGACGGUACCUAAUCAGAAAGCCACGGCUAACUACGUG